UAGGGAAUCUUCGGCAAUGGACGGAAGUCUGACCGAGCAACGCCGCGUGAGUGAAGAAGGUUUUCGGCUCGUAACGCUCUGUUGUUAGAGAAGAACGUUGGUAGGAGUGGAAAAUCUACCAAGUGACGGUAACUAACCAUAAAGGGACGGCUAACUACGUGCCAGCAGCCGCGGUAAUACGUAGGUCCCGAGCGUUGUCCGGAUUUAUUGGGCGUAAAGCGAGCGGAGGCGGUUCUUUAAGUCUGAAGUUAAAGGCAGUGGUGUGAGCAUUGUACGCUUUGGAAACUGGAGGAGUGGAGUGCAGGAAGGGAGAGUGGAAUUCAAGGUGUAGCGGUGAAAUGCGUAGAUAUAUGGAGGAACACCAGUGGCGAAAGCGGCGCUAUGGUAUGUAACUGACGAAGAGGCUCGAAAGGGUGGGGAGGAAACAGG
rnacentral:rRNA from 1 species